AAAGGAAAUAAGAGCGCACAGUGGAUGCCUAGGCUCCAAGAGCCGAUGAAGGACGCAAUCGCCCCUUAAAGUAGGCGAG
rnacentral:rRNA from 1 species